rnacentral:rRNA from 1 species
GAUGAACGCUGGCGGCGUGCCUAAUACAUGCAAGUAGAACGCUGAAGCUUGGUGCUUGCACCGAGCGGAUGAGUUGCGAACGGGUGAGUAACGCGUAGGUAACCUGCCUGGUAGCGGGGGAUAACUAUUGGAAACGAUAGCUAAUACCGCAUAACAGUCGACAUUGCAUGAUGUUGAUUUGAAAGGGGCAAAUGCUCCACUACCAGAUGGACCUGCGUUGUAUUAGCUAGUUGGUGAGGUAACGGCUCACCAAGGCGACGAUACAUAGCCGACCUGAGAGGGUGAUCGGCCACACUGGGACUGAGACACGGCCCAGACUCCUACGGGAGGCAGCAGUAGGGAAUCUUCGGCAAUGGACGGAAGUCUGACCGAGCAACGCCGCGUGAGUGAAGAAGGUUUUCGGAUCGUAAAUGCUCUGUUGUAAGAGAAGAACGAUGUGUGAGAUGUGGAAAGUUCACACUGGGACGGAACUACCAGAAAGGACG